CCCGGGGCCGCCCCGGAAGCCCGUCGGCGUCAGUUCCGCUGCCUGGCUUGCCCGGCGUCCUCGCCUCGUCUCUGGGCCUCGAGCCGUGCCGGGGCGACGUCGGGGCGGGAGCGGCCGGCGCGGAGGACGCCGGGGAGGUGUCCGGGAGCCGGGCCACACGCGGCUGGCUCGGCCGUCCCCCGCGGGGCCGUGCCGGCCGGAGACAACCCGGAGGGGCAGGACUCCUCGCGCCGCACGAGGUGGGGCGGCGCCUGCCUGCGGCGACGUCGCAGCCUCCAACGGGGCUUACCUGAGGAGCAGCCUACCGGGAGCCGGCUGGGUGAAAACGCACGGCGUAAACGGGCCCCGCCUGUGCUGCAGCUAUACUGGUCGGCUUCCAAUUCCAACGGGCCAAGCGCUGUUUUUUUCUGACUUGGAGCUUCUCUGCUUUUGGUUCCCUUGGCCAGGAACCCUUUCUCUCCUCUCCACCCUCCCCUUACUCCCCACCCCACAGUGUUUUACGUCUCAAUGAAAGACAGAUCGAGAUGCCUUUUUCGGACCACCCAUCUAUGGUGGGGCACCUGUUAGUCUACUACUGUAUUGCCUUGGUAGCUCUUUGCCCGCUCUGUUAUUUACUACUGUGCCCCCCACCCCGCUUGAAUGUCAGGCAAAUAGCAGGUCCUUAAUAAAUAUUUGUUGCCUUAUUCAGGCUGAGGAAUGACUCAUAAUUUCUCCCCAGAUCCCUAUGCUUCAGUAAUACGGUUUAGUUUUUUUUUUUUAAUCAAAGUAAUUUUUUAAAGAGGAAGAGGAGAAAGAAUAUCCUAUCUUCACUUGCCCUCACUGUGGGACUUUGGAUCAGUCACUUGAUCUCUUUGGGCUUCAAUUUUCUCAUCUGAAAAACUCAGAGAAUAGCAUGUACCUUACACAGUUGUAAGGUUAGGAAAUGUACAUAAAGCACAGAGAAACCCCUUCCCAAAUGUUAGUGAAUAACAGAAGUAUUUACUAUUUAUCAUUUUAAAGCACUUAUCAUAUAUUAAACACUUAAUAAAUGGAUGGGACUCAAACCCA